AAUCAGGUAGGACUACCCGCUGAACUUAA
rnacentral:rRNA from 2 species